GGCGAUUGUGGAAACGGCCCAUGCAAAUGGGCUUUGCUUUCUGGCUGGUGGUUCUGAGCUUCUUGUCGCUGUCAGGCUGCUGGGAGGCCUCAACAUCCAAGAUAUUUGGAGACCCUUUUACUUGAGUCUAAAUUAUGUAACAGUGGAACUCCGUAAGGUAAAAGGUUCCACACAGCUAUUUCCCAAGAUAGAAGACUCUCCUGGGUCUCAAUGGAAACAAAAUCCUUUGACUGACAUAAAGAGCCAGCUCUCUCUUUAGGAUCUCUGCACGAUGCCAAUGCUGCCAUUCUGUAAAGUGGUGGCGGAGAA